GUGGGUGGCAAGGCUGAAUCUGUCCUCUAAGUAACUUAAUGUUGAUAAGGCAAGAGGGUAACACCUUCUGAAUCUUUCACCAAAUUCCAUGAGCUGGAAGGUGCACAUGCAAAGGGAAGAAGGUGAGUUGAUGUCUGUGGGGAUAGUUUUUGAAUUACCUAUGUUGGAGUUAUCUUUUAUUAAUAUAAAUAAUAAUAGGGUGAUUUAUAAAAUCAGUGGUAGUGUAUCUUAUUAGGCAGUUAUGGGACAACAUCAACAAGAACUGGCUGGGAGUUCCCGUCAUGGCACAGCACAAGCGAAUCUGACUAGGAACUGUGAGGUUGCAGGUUCGAUCCCUGGCCUUGCUUAGUAGAUUAAGGAUCCCACGUUCCUGUGGCUGUGUUGUAGGCUGGCAGCUGUAGCUGUAAUUGGACCCCUAGCCUGGGAACGUCCAUAUGCCAUGAGUGCAACCCUAAAACAAACAAACAAAAAAAAGAAUUUAAAAAAUGAUUACUGGCUGAUACCCUAAAAAAGCUGUCCAGGUCAGAGGCUUCACUGGAAGUCAAGUCACAUUAUUGUGCUAAUUUAGAAGAUGAGGCAUAAGAUUUAAAAAAGAAAUUACAAAUCACAAGUCAAGUAUGUUUGAGAUUGUUAAAUCUUUCUUUUUUUAUUUUCGUUACCAUUAUUUCAUUACCAUUUUAUUGUUUUAUAAUGUGCUUAUUUCUUAAACUCUGACUUUUAUUCUGAUGUUUUGUAUUAUAUAAUUUUUCUUAGGCUAUUUCCCCUUGGGAAAGUAGAGAAUGAUGCAUCAUUCCUCACAGAACUUGAGAGUCUGUUUUUUUCUAUUAAACAGUAAGUUUUGGUGAUGUCUCUAUCACCAUGAUGAGGCAAGCCAGAUAAAAGUCAGAGGAUACUGUUUAAUGGAAUGUUCCAGAAAACUGUCAUUUCUCAUCUUCACUUUUGUGAAAGAGUAUAGAAUGUGUGUAUAUUUCUUUCUUGGAUUUCACGUUAUCUCGUGCAGUGAGGUCAUUCUACAAACCGGUUGAAGUUAGGCGUUGCUUUUAUUUUCUUUUCAAAUUAACUAUUGUAAAUGCAUGGAGAUAUUUAGAUCUUGUCUAGUUUGCGUAGCCAAAAUAAAGAAUUAAGAAAUUAUCUAGGUGCUACCAUUGGAUUAAAAAAAACCCAUAUUGAGAUAUGUAUGCUUCAUAGGUCAUAUAAUCCACUCCUUUAAGAUGUGUAGUUCAGUAUCUACUAGUUUAUUCAGAGUUGUGCAACUUUCACCACAAUCAAUUUUGGACCAUCACCCCAAAAAGAAACUCUGUAUCUCUUUGGGGUCGCUCACAGCCCCCAUCUCCCUCAGCCCCAGGCAACCACCAGGCUAAUUCCUGUCUCCAUAGCUGUGCCUGUUCUGGGGGUUUCAUACAAAUGGACUCACAUGGACUUUUGGACCUUGUGGUUAGCUUUUUUCAUUUGACAUAAAGUUCUCAAGGUUCCUCCAUGGUAGAGCCCAUUAUCAGCACUUCCAUGUCUGUUCAUUGUGGAACAGUACAGUGUUACAUGGUCAAAACAUUGACCCACUCAUCAGCUGAUGGGCCUUUGGGUUGUUUCCACAUUGGGGCUAUAAAUAAUGCUGCUGUGAACAUUCCUUUUCAAGUCACUGUGUUGACUCGUUUUAUUCCCUGCUGUUGGAUUUUCUCCUGUGAGUUAACUGGCUGAUGUCACCUUUUCUUUGCCUUUCCUCAUGCUGUCCUUUCUGUCUUUUCCCUUUCUUUUCCUGUCACCUAGUCCUCCAUUUAUUCAGACAGGGCUUCCAGUCUCUCCUUCCUUUCGCACGAAGCUUUCUCUGACUGUUCCUCCUGUCAUUGACCCUAUUCUCAUCGUCCCCUGUCAUUGGUCUGUGCAGAACAGUUUAUCCCAUCAUUUUUACUCUGUUUAAUUUUUUUUCAUAAGAGACAAUCUUGUCUAAGUAUAAAUUUGUCUAACAGGGACUAUGAAACUAUGUGCAUGGCACCAGUCCUUGCAUAAACUGAAAAUAUUUUAGCUUAAGUGUUAUUACUAGGAUAAGUUUAAGCACUUUUAUCAUAGGCAUAAUUUCAUUGUGGAGAUAUUAGUAUGAAAAAGCCUUUAUUAAAUGGUAUUUUAAUCAAUUAAAUACAAAAUGGAAAGUACUUGAACUCAUAGAGAAGAAUUGUUCAAUUAAAUGUUCAUUUUUGCCCUCACUAUGAAAAAAAAUCUAAUUUUCUUUACUUUUCUUUUCCUUUUUUGUGUUUUGGUUUUUUUAGGGCUGUACCCAUAGUGUAUGGAAGUUCCCAGGCUACGGGUCGAAUCAGAACUGCAGCUACUGGCCUAAACCACAAGCAGAGCAACUCAGUAUCAGAGUCACGUCUUGGACCUGCCUCACAGCUCAAGGUCAAUGGUGGAUCCCUAACCCAUGGAGUGAAGCCAGGGAUCAAACCCACGUGCGCAUGGAUGCCAGUCGGAUUUGUUUCCAUGGCACCACAAUGGGAACUUCCAAGAAUAGCUUUUCUGAUAUCCAUUCUCCAUAAGCUGAAUUUUCUCAUCUGAGUCCUUGGUAGAAUAGGUUGACAUAAACAGUCCCUGGGAAUAAACCAAUUCAGAACUUUGACCUAAUAGCCAUGCCAGUGGAUUGAUUCCUCUAACGGUCAUGGAAGUCUUGUAUCACUCAAUCCAGGAGGUGCUCUCUGCAUUGUAGUCUGUGACCACUGCCCACUGAGUGGUGCAGAGAGGAAGUAAGUUCCAAAUGACUAUAUAAGUGGAAAAAAGUACUAGUUGGUUGGUGGAAUUAAUGGAAGGUUUUGAAGUACUGGGCAUAUAUUCUGGGCCUCAAGCUCCCCACCGACAGCCACUUUCACUAAAAUGAAGACUGAUUUGAGGGUGACUUGUAUAUGAGACCAUGUCCGUAGGCAUGCUAGGUGCCUAAAUAUUAAAUUGUUGAGAACAUACAGUAUAGCAAGAGUAAUAAUGCUGAUGGCAAACCCUUAGCACUUGCUAGGUGCCACCCAGUCUUCUAAGUACAUUAUGUGUAUUCCCCAUUGUAAUCUUCCCAAUAUCCCAGUGAGGUAGAUGCUAUUAUUAUCUCCAUUUUACAGACAGAGAAACUGAGACAGAAAAUUUAAGUAAUUUGCUCCAGGACAUGGGGCUAAUAAUGGAUGGGAUUGGAACUGAGAGUCAUGCAUGUUGGCUCCUGAGUAGAUACUGUCUCUCUAACUAGUCCAUGAGAUCUCUGGUUGUCACCAAAAGCAGUGUUAGCUGUCAUCAUCACUAGAAGUGCCACAGUGACUCGCUGGUGUGGAUAUUUAAUGUUGUAGUUGAGUGUAGCUUAGAAGACAAUAAUGUACAUGCGGAGUUCCCAUUGUGGCACAUUGGAAGCGAACCCAACCAGGAACCAUGAGGUUGCAGAUUCAAUCCCUGGCCUCACUCGGUGGGUUAAGGAUGCGGCGUUGUUGCCGUGAGCUGCGGUAUUGGUCGCAGACCUGGCUUGGAUCCUGCAUUGCUGUGGCUGUGUCUUAGGCAGCAGCUAUAGCUCUAAUGAGACCCCUAGGCUGGGAACCACCACAUGCCACAAGUGUGGCCCUAAACAAUAAGAAAAUACAUACACACAUACAUAUUACAUGUAUGUAUGCACAUAUACAUGUGUGUGUGUACACAUGUAUUAUACAUUUACCCAUGUGUGUAUGUGUACACAUGUGUAUCUAUACAUGUACUGUGUGAAUGUGUAUACAUGUAUGUACACAUAUGUGUUGUGUGGAUAUGUGUGUGCAUGUGUGUGUGUGUGUGUUUAUACAUAAAUGUUCCCUGUAAGGAAAUUCUCUUUCCCCAAUCUGCCAACGUAUAAAUGUGUAUAUUUACUUGAUAAAAUGGAAUUUAAUGCAUUCAUAAUAUUACGUUUAAUACUAGGGGAGAAGUUGAUAACUUGUAAAGGACCAGAUAGCCAAUAUUUCAAGUUUGUGGGCUAUAAGGUCUCUGUUACAACAACUCCUGUCUAUUCUAGUGGCACAAAAAGUAGCCAUAAACAAUAUGCAGAUGAACAAGACAAGAAAACAGAUAUAUCUGUACUAGAUUAUCAGUAGGUAAAAACAUUGUUUUCCUUUGUUUUAGUUGCAAGAAGCACAAGAUCGAUAUAUGGAGGCCGUGAAAUGUACUGAGGAAAUGUAUUGAGAAGAUGCAGCAUCAAGUGCAAAAGUAAGAUUUAAAGCAGCACAGAGAAUAAGUAGGGAUUAAGUACGAAGCACCUAGGCAGUACAGUGUAAGAAUUAUACCAGGAAAGAUGACAAAUAAGACAUCAUUGGGGAGCCGGGUAAAAAUUUCAGUUUUGGGGUGUUGUGAAAUGUUUUUUCCCCAUUAUUUCUAAAUUUCUCUCAUUAUCCGCAAAACCCUACUAGAAAAACAACAAAAUGGCCAAAACAUCUACCUUUCAAAAAUUUCAGAAUUUAUGUAAUGGAACCUGUGGAUGUUCGUGUACAAUUGGUGUGGUUGUCUUAACAAUCUAUGUGUGAGAAUAAUUAUUUUGAAAUACACAUUUUAGGCUUGAAAAGGAAAAUGCCGAGUUAAAAGGUACAAACAAAAUGCAAGCGGGCACAAUUGAAGAGCUUCAGAAAAACCUGCUGAGUCUAAGUUCGGUAAGUCAGUUUUUUUCUGUCGUACUGAAAAGGAAUUUUAAUUGUGUUACCAAUAUUAUAUGAGAAUAUUUUAGAAAAGAGGAAAAGUCUCAUUGAUAAAAAGCAGUUACGGCAUUUAUAGUGAUACUCUUUGCUACGAAUAGCAUACUUCCUCUUUAUAGAAGACAUUAACUGAAUUCAUAAAAUGAGUGAUUUUUGUAGGAAGAUUUUAAUUAGAAAGAUUGUGGAAGCACUCCCAUUGUGGCUCAGUGGCUUAUGAACCCUACUAGUAUCCAUGAGGAUGUGGCCUCGCUCAUCGUGGGUUAAGGGUCCAGUGUUGCCAAGGCUCUGGUAUAGGUCUCAGCAGCAGCUCUGAUUCAACCCCUAGCCUGGGAACUUCUGUAUGCCACAGGAGUGGCUUUAAAAAAAAAAAAAAAAA
ensembl:lncRNA